rnacentral:rRNA from 1 species
CCAAAAAUGGUGACUCCUUUAAAGACUACCUAUUGUGGUACUUCCUUUGCGUGAUGCUUUUUAUCAUGGAUUUUAAAGAUUACCCAGUUAAAAAUUUUUGUUUGUCAAGCAAUUGAGCACAUGACAUCAUCUCUCUUAUGACAAAUAAAGUGCCAGCAGUCGCGGUCAUACUUUUAUAGGCGCAAAGAUUUUCAGAACAUCUCACUAGCCUUUUCUUAUUCAUGGUGAAAUAUAAAUAUCAACACCCUCCCUCUGGUCCUAUUAAUCUACCAGCUGAUGACAAACAGGGAUUAGAUACCCCUUUAUGCAGUACGUAAUUUCCCGUUCUGGGGAUUAAAGUUCCAAACUCAAACUCAAACCACAUGGCGGUGGUUUUUACUUAGGGGAACUUACUAGAUAAAUGAUAACCCCCAAGAAAACCUACGUUAAAUAUAAUAUCUUGUAUACCGUCGUCGUAGACAUACUAUAAUAGUAUGUCAGUAAGUGCUUACUACAAGACAGAUCAAGGUGCAGAUUAUCUUAACGUCUCAGCGAGUUACAAUAAUAAUUCCUUUCAUACAGCAACUGUACUUUUGCGUGCAUGCCGGACUUAAAAGUAAUAAAUACUAAGCAUAAUUUAUGAAUCCUAACUAAACUGUGC